GCAAGGAGAGGACCACCCAUCAUGUGAUGCAAGACAGACCACCCAUCAUCAGCUGAUGCAGGGACAGAAUCAUGACGCAGAGAAAGAGAAUUACUUGUAAACCUAUACGUGGAUGGGAAGGUCAUCAAGACCCGAGGCUACUCCAGGGACCAGUCUUCCCUCGUUGUGAGAGUGAGGCUGGACCACAUCUGGAGGACAAGAGGUCCCCUCCAUCCCAGCCAUCCCAGAUGGAUAAGCAAGGCCCUCCUAGAUCACCUGGCACUGCGGAGCCAGCCCCAGACAGAAGAACCGACCGGCCCAUUGCAGAAUCAUGAGAGGCAACAGGUUGAAGAGGCGGGAGUUAAAUGCCGGUGGGUGAGUUGCCACCAGGAUCGUGAAAGCUGCCCUCUGAGAAAGGAGCGUCGCUCUGAAGGGAAGCUGACAUUCCUGGGGAAUUUGGGGCCACGCCUGGGACGGCAGUGCCAGCAGAAGGGCACCUGCCGUGCACAGUGGGUGUGCUGUCUCCCUGGGGUUCGCCGUGGCCGUGCGUCUGACUCUCCCGGGUGGCUUGUCCCCAGGCCUGAGUGCUGGGCUGGAUCCUACACGUGGCUGCCGCC